AAAACCUAACCCUUCUCUCAUUUUCUAACCUAGACACACAUUAAAAGUCCUAAGGAAAAUCGUACUCCUCUCUCACCGACCCAAAAAACGGCGUGACCCCAGCUCCCUUCUUCUGUGUGCUUUUUUCAUUUCUCAAAAUACACACACAUCAAUUACACCCACACACCUAGGCUGCUGGAAGAAGAAGUUUGCACUUCAAAAUUUAAGAUCGAGAAAACCAAAAAAAGAAUGAAAAGCUAUAAAAAAAAGGAUGAACAACAGAGUGAUUGGUUGUUUCAGAUUCAAAUGAUUCACAAUCAAAGCUGCGUUUAUUUGUUGUCGAUUCCGAAUUGAUUUGCCUGGGUUCGAAAUUUCCUUCCUCUUGUUCGGGAUUGUUUUUGCUGUUCAUCAUUGCUGAACUUUACCAAUUAGGAGUUCUAGGCAUUUAUUUGGUUUUUGAGCUGUUGUUUCCCUACUUUAGGAGUGUUUAAACUCUCCAAAUAUGGCUACUUGCUGGGUCUUGUCAUCUUCAUUUGUGCUCGAGUUUGGCCGAUUCAAUUCCUGACUCAGGCAUUAGAUCCAGGUGCCCGAGCGGCUGAGUGAACAUCUUCAGCUGAUUCAGUUUCUAUCGGGUAGUUCGAGGUAGCUGCAUGGCGUUCGCAGCCCUGUUUUCUCCCUUCUAUCAUGUUAUUUUCCGCAUUUUCUAGACUAUUAAUCUAGUAGGUAUUCAGACUUGUAUUAGAGGCUCUAGACUCAUGACACCAGAUCCGUUUGAGUUGUGUAGUUUUCUAUUAUUUUGACUUCCGCAUAUCUUCUGUUACUCUAACGGUUAUUAUGAAAUUGGUAUUUAAAACUUGUGUUGAAAA